GACAGAGGGUGCAACCGUUGUUCGGAAUUACUGGGCGUAAAGCGCGUGUAGGCGGUUGCACAAGUCGGGUGUGAAAGCCCAGGGCUCAACCCUGGAAGUGCACUCGAAACUAGGCGACUUGAGUCUCGGAGAGGAAAGCGGAAUUCUGGGUGUAGAGGUGAAAUUCGUAGAUAUCCAGAGGAACACCGGUGGCGAAGGCGGGUCUCUGGGCCGAUACUGACGCUGAGGAGCGAAAGCGUGGGGAGCGAACAGG
rnacentral:rRNA from 1 species